rnacentral:rRNA from 1 species
AAUGAACGCUGGCGGCAGGCCUAACACAUGCAAGUCGAACGAGUGGCGGACGGGUGAGUAAUGUCUGGGAAACUGCCUGAUGGAGGGGGAUAACUACUGGAAACGGUAGCUAAUACCGCAUACCAUCGGAUGUGCCCAGAGGGGAUUAGCUAGUAGGUGGGGUAAAGGCUCACCUAGGCGACGAUCCCUAGCUGGUGUUAGAGGAGGACCAGCAACACUGAAACGGCAACCCGGUCCGGACUCCUACGAGAGGCAGCGGUGGGGAAUAUUGCACAAUGGGUGCAUGCCUGAUGCAGCCAAUCCGCGUGUAUGAAGAAGGCCUUCGUGUUGUAAAGUACUUUCAGCGGGGAGGCGUUACCCGCAGAAGAAGCACCGGCUAACUCCGUGCCAGCAGCCGCGGUAAUUC